AGUGAACGCUGGCGGUAGGCCUAACACAUGCAAGUCGAACGGCAGCACAGUAAGAGCUUGCUCUUACGGGUGGCGAGUGGCGGACGGGUGAGGAAUACAUCGGAAUCUACUUUUUCGUGGGGGAUAACGUAGGGAAACUUACGCUAAUACCGCAUACGACCUACGGGUGAAAGCAGGGGAUCUUCGGACCUUGCGCGAUUGAAUGAGCCGAUGUCGGAUUAGCUAGUUGGCGGGGUAAAGGCCCACCAAGGCGACGAUCCGUAGCUGGUCUGAGAGGAUGAUCAGCCACACUGGAACUGAGACACGGUCCAGACUCCUACGGGAGGCAGCAGUGGGGAAUAUUGGACAAUGGGCGCAAGCCUGAUCCAGCCAUACCGCGUGGGUGAAGAAGGCCUUCGGGUUGUAAAGCCCUUUUGUUGGGAAAGAAAAGCAGCAGGUUAAUACCCCGCUGUUCUGACGGUACCCAAAGAAUAUGCACCGGCUAACUUCGUG
rnacentral:rRNA from 1 species